rnacentral:rRNA from 1 species
CACGUAGGGCGCGAGCGUUGUCCGGAAUUAUUGGGCGUAAAGAGCUUGUAGGCGGCCUGUUGCGUCCGCUGUGAAAGCCCGGGGCUUAACCCCGGGUCGGCAGUGGAUACGGGCAGGCUAGAGGUAGGUAGGGGAGAAUGGAAUUCCCGGUGUAGCGGUGAAAUGCGCAGAUAUCGGGAGGAACACCGGUGGCGAAGGCGGUUCUCUGGGCCUUACCUGACGCUGAGGAGCGAAAGCGUGGGGAGCGAACAGG